CGCUCAGAGGUAAACGGGUGGAGUUGAACUGCGAACCCCGAGAAUUCAACUGGUGAGUGUGGUAUGAGCUUGGCAUAAUGGUUGGCUUUGCGGGUCUGCUUAGCUGCAGGUCUUCACCUCUUGGUGGAGAUGCGCGAUACACUUGUCAAGUGGUGCGCGCUCGUUGAGUUACUCGGACAUGCUUGCCAGUGCACUUUCUCGGGGUGUUCACCACGACCGGCGCCGCUACUUGUCUAAUAUGGUUAAACCGGUCUUGCUUGGUCCUUGUGGCUUUGCUUGAUCGGGAUGGCAGGUAACUCGUUAACUUGUGUGUUGGCUUCGGUUGACAUGCGCUUGGUUUUCGAGUGUAAUCAGCUGACUGUAUUGGUGCUAUGUAGUGCGUCGGAGACGGCGGCUUGUGGUGUGUGCCUGCGUGCCUAUUUGCUGACGGAACCGGGUUUGGUUAUUUUGUUGCCUGUUCUGCAGGCCUGGUGAUGGCCCGGUUUCGCUUGGUGGAUGGGGGCGUGUGUGACACUUAUCAGGGCCUAUAGUCUGUGGUGUUGUGGUAGACUAUCCACCUGACCCGUCUU
rnacentral:rRNA from 1 species